rnacentral:rRNA from 1 species
CCGGCGACCGGCGCACGGGUGAGUAACACGUAUGUAACCUGCCCUAUGCAGGGGGAUAACCCGGAGAAAUCCGGCCUAAUACCGCGUAACACCUUUUGGGAGCAUUCCCGGGAGGUUAAAGGAGAGAUCCGGCAUAGGAUGGACAUGCGUCGCAUUAGGUAGACGGCGGGGUAACGGCCCACCGUGCCGACGAUGCGCAGGGGUUCUGAGAGGAAGGCCCCCCACACUGGUACUGAGACACGGACCAGACUCCUACGGAAGGCAGCAG